UUUUAAUUCACACACCAAACCUGUAUCUCAGUUACACUGGUCCCACAAACACUGCAGUGUCCUGACUUUACUACUGAGGCUAGGUCGUUCUGCACCCAACAGCCGGUCACAAGCACACCCACAGCUUUCGGGGCCCCAGCAGAGAAUCCCAUCGCUCGUUUGCCUUGGCCUGUCCCUAGAAGCUGGGUUAAUUCCAUGACCUGCUCAGUCUCCCUCCGCCUAAAGGUAUCGCAGGAUUAAGUGUUUCACCUCAUCAGACGAAAAAGCUAGUCAGCAGCUCUGUUUAUGAUCUUUGGGGAUUAAUCAGGAAGUUUUUGGUAACACUCAUGAAUAUUAUCUCCCCAAGAAGUGAAUGGCGACCUACCAGAGAGGCACGUUAAAAAAUUGUUUUUAACACGUAUGUGGAAAUAGCGAUCGAAGUGACUCGAUUCACUGUCCAAGCUGCAAAGUGCACCGUCAGUGCCUAGCACUCCUCCCCCCCCCCGCCCCCCUGCAAACGCACCUGCAGAGGAUUGUAAGUUGUGACUGCCCCCAGGGCAUGGAUCAAGAGUCUCCAAGAGAGACUCAGUAGAAAGGAAGAAAAACAGGGGGGGUAAAAACCUAGUUAAAGGAAAAUCUCUGGAACAAGACUUACCACUCUGGCUUCUGCUGGUCCAGGGUAUGUAGGAAGGCGGAGUUGGGGUCCAGGCAGCGCUCAGGGUCACUGGAGAUGUCCUCCUCCGAGUCCUCAUAGGAAGAGGAGAAGCCAGUGGAGGAGGCAGACGAAGAGGACAGUUUCCUCAGGGGCAGGUGCCCCGGGGACUUCCCUGCACCUCCUCCACGUCCUUGUCCUCCUGGGGCACCCAUGUCGGUAAUGAUGAACGGCAGGAGAUGCAAAGACCCAUGUCAGAUGUCACGGCGAAAGCAACUGGAAGGCGCAGCAAUGCAUACGGUGAACGUGGAAAUUUCGCUCGCUAGUCCCUGGGAAAUCUCACUGUCACCUCAUGAAAAGACAUCACCGGCCUUUCCCAGAACGGAGGCAUUCCGGCUUCUGCAAUGGACAAUUAGGCUGAAGAAUUUUUGCUCAGAAGGCAGCCAGCAGCUGGUCAGGGGUGGGCAUUAAGAAAAAAUUUCUGGGGCGCCUGGGUGGCUCAGUCGGGUGAGCGUCCGACUUCGGCUCAGGUCAUGAUCUCACGGUUGGUGGGUUCGAGCCCCGCGUCGGGGUCUGUGCUGACAGCUCGGAGCCUGGAGCCUGGAGCCUGCUUCUGCUUCUGUGUCUCCCUCUCUCUCUGCCCCUAACCCACUCGCAUUCUGUCUCUGUCGCUCUCAAAAAUAAAUAAAAAUUAAAAAAAAAAAAAAAGGAAAGAAAACAUUU
rnacentral:lncRNA from 1 species